UCCAACUGUUCGCAGAGGGGGACGCCGAAGGCGGGGCUGAUGACUGGGGUGAAGUCGUAACAAGGUAGCCGUACCGGAAGGUGUGGCUGGAUCACCUCCUUUCAAGGAGACCUACCCUACUGACUAUUGCCAAAGAGGUUAAAGAGGUGAAGUGAGUAAGGUCACCUAGGUCGAGCGAGUUAACGGUAUUGGUUUCUAGACUAGGUCGAGGUUAAGGGCU
rnacentral:misc_RNA from 1 species